CAUCUUGACCUCAAAUCAGGUAGGACUACCCGCUGAACUUAAGCAUAUCAAUAAGCGGAGGAAAAGAAACUAACAAGGAUUCCCCUAGUAACUGCGAGUGANGCGGGAAAAGCUCAAAUUUAAAAUCUGGCAGUCUAUGGC
rnacentral:rRNA from 1 species